CCGGCCCAGCGGAGGAUCGACGGGUGCAGGGGUCCCGGAGAGAGGGCGAAGGCAGCAAUAAAGUGAGGGAGCCAGCUCAAAUGAUCAACAAAGAACUAAAGUAACAGGCAUUUCAGGAAAAUAUUUCAGUGUUGUUCCAACAGGUAGAGACUUUGACAAGCCACUAGUGUCACCCCAAUGAUGCCAACUGAAAAUCUGAGCAAUAUAAGAAAAGUCAAAAAAAAUCCAAAGAUUUUCCAGGCUACAG